UACGGGGGGGGCAAGCGUUGUUCGGAAUUACUGGGCGUAAAGAGCUCGUAGGCGGUCUGUCGCGUCUGCUGUGAAAAUCCAGGGCUCAACCCUGGACCUGCAGUGGGUACGGGCAGACUAGAGUGCGGUAGGGGAGAUCGGAAUUCCUGGUGUAGCGGUGAAAUGCGCAGAUAUCGGGAGGAACACCGGUGGCGAAGGCGGUUCUCUGGGCCUGUGCUGACGCUGAGGAGCGAAAGCGUGGGGAGCGAACAGG
rnacentral:rRNA from 1 species